UGUGAUAUAGUGGGAAGAACUAAAAGAGGUGGCUUCUAUUCUGGAAAAGCAGGCUAGUCACUUCACUUCUCUAGGCCUGGAGUCCUCUGUGAAAUGAGGAAUUUAACUGAUCAUCAGAGCUCCUGCAAGUUACACAUCCUGGGCUUCAUCCUGGGAAAUCCUAAGACAGUGCAUUUUGGAGUAGUGCCAAAGAAUCUGUACUUUUUAAGGGACCCUGACACUCAGCUAGGUUUGGGAACUCCUGGGUAAGAUGCUUUUUAAAGUCUCCAUCAGCUAUGAAAUGCUAAGUCUCCUGUGAGCCCAAACAUAAAUUAAAACCCUAUUUUAACUAUUUUCUCCUUGUAGGCUACUGAAAGCAUUAAAAUGUUGGUGACAUUGUGUCAGUCCGAUGCUGAAGAAAUCAGAAAUGUGGCCUCAGAAACCCUUUUGUCUCUUGGAGAAGAUGGGCGGCUGGCAUAUGAACAACUAGACAAGUUUCCACGAGACUGUGUAAAAGUUGGAGAAUGUCAUGGAACUGAAGUUGCCACAGCCUUUUAAUUGUGGGUUAACUCUGCCUGACAGCUGUCUUAAAUGGCCCUAUUCGUCAAGAUGGUGCUGUGGUUUAGCUGGAAUGUGUAAACUUUGAAGAGAUCUGUUGAGGUUGUCUGAAAAUGUAACAUGUUAUAGAAAGAAUUCAAGUCCAGUUUCACAGUACCUACCUAGUUUUCCUUUGGCCGGAAGAGUAGGGCUAUGUGUGUAACUCAGUAGAUGGCAUUGCUCAUUGUGUCUGACAAUACAAGAGGCUAUCUUAUCUAGUAUCUAUGGAAUUUUAAAACAGCCAUCCUUGUACUUUUUUGGAAGUUCUUCUAUAAGCUUGAAAUAGUCAUGUGAUACUUUGAUAAAUAUUAUAUACCUUGCAGUUUUUCUCUCUUGUGGUCUCAGGGUUGAAUGGCCCCCUUUACCUAAUUUACCUUAGAUGCAAAGCACAAAAAAGAAUUUCUUCAAAUAAGUUUGCCUGCAAAACCAGAUAAAACAACACAUUAUAAGAGUUUGAUUUGAUUUUUCAAGGCUCUGUUAUUUCUUUUGUUUCUUUUCUCCAUCCUGAAACUCUAAAAGCGGUUCCAUCAUGGUAAAAACAUAGAUGGAUGACUAAAAACUACCUUAUUUAGAUUAUACCUAUACUCAUUUUAAAAAGACACACAAAGCUAAAGCUUUUUCUUUAUUUAAACAAGGGCCAUUUUUUUAUACUUCUACAAUGGAGGUAUUUUGCUGCUAAGACAAAUCAAAACCAAAGGUCAUGGAUUCAGAAAGCAGGGAUCUCUUCAAGGUAGAAGAACCUGGAAGCUGGAGGAAUCUACAGGGGUGGAAACUGAGGGACAUUGAAAGGGUCCUUGCUUCCAUAUAAAUUAGCAUGAGAUUAGGAAGAAGAAUGCCUGAGGGAUGGUGUGCCCCAGAGAGAUCGUUGCUGGGGGAUCGCUUGGCCAAUUAGCUAAAACAACAGCUCCCAUUAUUGCUUCCAUACCAGGAUUAGCAAAUUCAUUAAAUAAGUACAAUACCAUUCAAUAGCUCUUACUAAACAACUUUUCUUCCUCUUAAGAGUAUGCAAGGUGAGAUGAUAUGUGUGAGUGUAAUUUAAACUGUGGACUAUCUGUACUCUGGAUGUGUUUGUAUAAAAUUUCAUUUAGAUGUCAUUUUAAAUAAUUACAGUUUAGCAAGACCUUUAAAAACAACUCAUUUCAUUGUAAAGUAAAAAUUGUUUGUGCCAGGCUUCCUGGCAAAUUGUUCUUUCGACUGUGAAGUUACAACGUAUAUAUAUAUUUGUACAUUUAUAAAUAUUAUAUACAUGCAUAUAUCCUUCAUUUUAAAGGUAUACUGUACAGUCUAUAGUUAGUAUGUAUAGUCCAUAGUUUCUGUUAAAUGGUAAAAUUAUUCUUUUUAUACAAAGUCAAAUCACAAAUGUUACAGAGUGUUUUUUUAAUAUUGCAUGAGUAAUUCUGUAUCUUUUGUAUUCGCUUCUGCAUUUUAUUUUGGUUGAAGGGGAUGCUUUUAGUUCUGGGGCAUUUGUAUUUAUCUCUCUUUCAAAUCAUGUAAGUUAAAAUAAAAGUUAUUUUUCAAUUACUAGUCUCAUA